GGAUGAGACUGCGGCUGAUUAGGUAGUUGUUGGGGUAAUUGCCUAACAAGCCGAUGAUCAGUAAGGGCUCUUAGCGGAGUUGCCCUGAGAAGGAAUCUGAGACACUAUUCCUAGCUCUACGGAGUGCAGCAGUCGCGAAUUUUUUGCAAUGCACGAAAGUGUGACAAAGCGAGCCGAAGUGCUUUUCUUAGAAAAGCUUUUUCUUGCUUUAAAAAGGCAGGAGAAUAAGGACUGGGAAAGACCGGUGCCAGCCGCCGCGGUAAUACCAGCAGUCCAAGUUGUAUCCAUUAUUAUUGGGUCUAAAACAUCCGUAGCUUGCUUAAAAAGUCCUCUGUGAAAUCUUAUGUCUCAAGCAUAAGGCAUGCAAAGAAUACUAUUAAGCUAGAGACCGGGAGGUGUAAGAAGUACACUCAAGGUAGUGGUAAAAUAUGUUAAUCUUGAGUGGACUAACAAUUAGCGAAGGCAUCUUACAAGAACGGAUCUGACAGUGAGGGAUGAAGGCCAGGGGCGCAAAACGGAUUAGAUACCCGUGUAGUCCUGGCAGUAAACACUGCUCACUAAACAUCGGUCUCUCUUCGGGAGAAAUCGGUGCUGAAGCGAAGGCGAAGAGUGAGCUACCUGGGAAGUAUAAUCGCAAGGUCGAAACUUAAAGGAAUUGGCGGGGAGACACUACAACGAGUACGCGUGCGGUUCAAUUAGACUCUACACCGUGAACCUCACCAGGAGCGACAGCAGAAUGAAGGUCAGUCUAAAGGGCUUACCUGACACGCUGAGCGGAUUUGCAUGGCCGACGUCAGCCUGUGCAGUGAUGUGACCUGUUAAAUCAGGUAACAGGCGAGACCCACGUGCAUAAUUACUACCGAAAGGAGAACAUUAUGCAGACUGCUCUGGUAACAGAGAGGAGGGUAUGGGCUACGUUAGGUGAGUACGGACCUAAUCCCCUGGGCUACACGCGCGCGGCAAUGGCAGACUCAAUGAGAUGCGACUCUGAGAAGAGAAGCUAACCUCCUAAUGUCUGUCCAAGUCCAAAUUGAGGACUGCAACUCGUCCUCAUGACGAUGGAAUUCGUAGUAAUCGUUUGUUAGCAUCGAACGGUGAAUAUGUCCCUGUCUCCUGCACACACCGCCCGUCAAACCAACCGAGUUAUGCGGGGUUAAAGCUCGUUAGAGAAAAAAUUUUGUAUGACAAGGUAGGUUAAGUCGUC
rnacentral:rRNA from 1 species